ACUGGCAAGGAUGAUAUACACUUGCCCUCACUUAGACCAUAGUUCGUUGAUGAGAGCAUUAUUCUGAGCCAGU
rnacentral:snoRNA from 17 species